rnacentral:lncRNA from 1 species
ACACCCGUGGUGGAAUGACUCGUGCCUGCCUGAAACACAGGAGAGUGAGAAUGGCAGCAGGGUAGGGGAUUGUUACAGCUGAAGUAAUCCUUACUUGCAAAUUUCUUCUGCCUUUUGAUCUGUCAGCAAGUCCCUCUUCACAGCAGAUGCAAUUUCCAAUACGUUCGCAGCAACAGAGAUCUCUGCGGAAGUUGAAAAUGAGCAGUACUGACAGUCUAAUGUGUGAAGUUGAAGAGAGAUGUCUU